rnacentral:rRNA from 1 species
UACAGAGGUCUCAAGCGUUGUUCGGAUUCAUUGGGCGUAAAGGGUGCGUAGGCGGCGCGGUAAGUCGGGUGUGAAAUCUCGGGGCUUAACUCCGAAACUGCAUUCGAUACUGCCGUGCUUGAGGACUGGAGAGGAGACUGGAAUUUACGGUGUAGCGGUGAAAUGCGUAGAGAUCAAUGAGGAAGACCAGUGGCGAAGGCGGGUCUCUGGGCCUUACCUGACGCUGAGGAGCGAAAGCGUGGGGAGCGAACAGG